rnacentral:lncRNA from 1 species
GGAGAAUUCCCUCCAUGGAUCGCGGAGCAUCCUUAUCUUGUGGAUAUCGGCCUGACGGUGAAUCAAUUCUACGGUCCCAUCCCGCAGAAUCUCGGAGUUAACAGCAAGCUGCAAGGAAUGGAUCUGGGAACCAACAAGUUCACAGGUGAGAUUCCACCAAACUUGUGCAUGCACAACGAGUUGGUUUACCUGGUUCUUCUUGAAAACGAGCUGUCGGGGCCGAUUCCACGAGGAUUACUCCAGUGUCAAACGUUGAAAAGGCUAAGGUUGGAGAACAACAACCUCACGGGUGACAUCAACUUCGACGCGCCGGCUCUCACCAUAGCGAUAAUCCGCAAGAAUAAUCUGGAUGGCGGCCUGUUUAUAGAAGCGAGGAGUAACAUGUCAGCACUGCAAACGCUGGAUCUACGCUCGAAUCGAAUGAAAGGCGACUUACCAGAGAAGCUGAGCUCGCUCACGGGUUUGCAGAAGCUUCUGUUGGCCGGAAAUCGUUUCUCCGGAAGCAUUCCUCGCAACCUCGGCUUCAAGUUGAAGCAGCUCGAAGUCCUUGAUCUCAGUGACAACAAUCUCGAAGGAGGGAUACCCCUGUCGGUUUCCAGCUGCAGCAACCUGGUCACGCUCAAUCUCAGCAGGAACAGCCUCAGUGGGACGAUUGCUCUUGAGAGGAUGGACAAGCUUAACGCACUGGAUCUCUCGCACAACCAGCUUCACGGUGGAAUACCUCUGGCCAUUGGACGAUCUCCUGCUCUUGAGAACCUUGAUCUCUCGUUCAACAAUCUGUCCGGAGAGGUGCCGGCCUUUUGCAAGAGGAUGGUGACCGACAUCACAGGGAAUCCCAUGCUCUGUUGGCCAGAGCA